rnacentral:rRNA from 1 species
AAAUUGAAGAGUUUGAUCAUGGCUCAGAUUGAACGCUGGCGGCAGGCCUAACACAUGCAAGUCGAACGGUAACAGGAAGCAGCUUGCUGCUUCGCUGACGAGUGGCGGACGGGUGAGUAAUGUCUGGGAAACUGCCUGAUGGAGGGGGAUAACUACUGGAAACGGUGGCUAAUACCGCAUAACGUCGCAAGACCAAAGAGGGGGACCUUCGGGCUUCUUGCCAUCAGAUGUGCCCAGAUGGGAUUAGCUUGUUGGUGAGGUAACGGCUCACCAAGGCGACGAUCCCUAGCUGGUCUGAGAGGAUGACCAGCCACACUGGAACUGAGACACGGUCCAGACUCCUACGGGAGGCAGCAGUGGGGAAUAUUGCACAAUGGGCGCAAGCCUGAUGCAGCCAUGCCGCGUGUAUGAAGAAGGCCUUCGGGUUGUAAAGUACUUUCAGCGGGGAGGAAGGUGUUG